rnacentral:rRNA from 1 species
UACGGAGGGUGCAAGCGUUAUCCGGGUUCACUGGGCUUAAAGGGCGCGUAGGCGGGUUCGAAAGUCUGUGGUGAAAGCCUCCAGCUUAACUGGAGAAGUGCCAUGGAUACUGCGAACCUGGAGGAGGGUAGGGGCAUCUGGAACGCUGGGUGGAGCGGUGAAAUGCGCAGAUAUCAGGAGGAACACCGGUGGCGAAGGCGGUUCUCUGGGCAUGUCCUGACGCUGAGGAGCGAAAGUGUGGGGAGCGAACAGG